GGCGCCUCUGGUGGGACGCAAGCGGCCUCUGCUGCCUGGGGGCGGCCGGCCAGCCAUGUCGCCCACCAAGCGCACCGUGCUCUCCAUCCUGGCCAGGGCCCGCGCCGCGCAGGGCAAGGACCUGCCAGACUACCUGCACCCCGCCAACGGAAGGAGCGCGGGCAUACCGGUGCUACGCGAGGACAUUAUUCCCGGAGGAGGACUCGUGUAAGGACAUAUGGCUUCAAGAGGCGACGGGCAGGCAGCUACACAUAUGGUGCCAACAGAAGAAAUGCCUCAUACAGCUGCUAGCUCGGCGAACCACGACCCCGCAGCGCAUGGUCGGUUUACACACUAUCCUAAUGAUGACGAGGCCUACACCGAAGCCUUGUCGACCGGAGGGACGAGACAGAGAGAACGAUCUUUCGCUUUCAUAACGACAUAUCUAGAGAUUAUUCAAUCGAAGCCUUUCGCUAAGAGUUUACUCAAAGGCGAACUGUCUGUCACCGUUUUCCUUGUAAGUUUCCUGAAGUAACGAAGGAUGCCUACUGUUCUUGCAGGCAGUUUGAAUUGACAGACAUUACUGUGCUAUAAAAAAGCCUGUAACCAAAAUUUUUUUAUCAAUAGCUCUUCACUACACUUCUGUUUACUUACGAAGCGAAAGAAUUGCAAACAAUGUCUUUUGCUCAUGAUGAAAUGAAAAUAAGUAGACAUUUUUAAUGCCACAUCUCUACCAAAUGUAAGUCGCAACAGUUCAAAUAUUCGUGCUGAAUGGCGGUGGUUAUCGUUCUAAACAGUCAAACUUUGCAAAUAAAUUACCCACGUAUCGUUAACACAGUCAUAUUAAUCGAAUAAACGAUUUUCAUGUACCCCCUCUGUAAUCAUCCUACACGUGAACCAGAUAGCAAAAUUCCUUGAGCGAGUGUUGAGUCGUCUCCUGCGAUGUCUUUGACGUAUUUGUUUAAUAUACAACGUGACUGGGCUUCUUACUAAAAUUUCUAUAUUUUCUCACGUUUAACCAAGAAACAUAUUUAAUGGCUGCACCAAUAAGCCAGUGAGUGAGAUUGAGAUAAGUACUGUAAGAGAUAUAGCUGGACAAUUUAAGAGUAAGUAUGUCAGAUGUUUAUACUUCCAUUUUAUUUUCAUAGGCUCAAUUUAUAAAUAUGAGGAACAGAAGAGGGAACAAUUAGGGUACCACAUGUGAAGUAAUAGAGUCCUAGCUUUAUCUAUUAAGACAUUCUCAAACAGGAACUGAUCGCCUAUCUGAAUUCCCAUACCCAGUCACUGAUUCCCACAGAAAACCUUUGAUCAGCAUCUUCGUAAUUCACAUCACUGGUCAAGCUGAACAAGCGAUUCGAAUCUCUCAAAAAAUAGCACAUUUUUGUUGCAAAAUUAAAUAUUUCUGUUUCAUAUUACAUUUCAUGGAAUAAUUUGAUUCAACAUUUGGGAAUACUGGACCAAAUUUGAUAACAAUCUUAUUAAAUAGCAUAGGAAUUUGAGAGACCUAAUUCAGAUAUUUUUCAAAACUAAAAUGCAAAUACUGUCUGUUUUACAUAGCUUAACAAACAUAUAUUUCAAAACAUGUUGCAUCAGUGCAGUUGCAUUAAAAUUUAGAAAGGGCCUAGCUGAAAAUAUAAAUUUGGUAUCUGGAUCAAGUUAGCUGUGAACUGCAGAUACUAUCAGUUUAUUACACCAGGAAAAGAAUUAUUUCAUAGUUCUGAAUAAUUACAGUGACUGCAUUAGUGGUGCUUGUAAAAUGAAAACUAUGUACAAUGUAAUGACUAAUAUCCACUUGCCUAUUUGUGCAAAUCAAUGUAUUGUUAAAUACUUGGAUGUUAGUGAAGAAUUUUGUAGUAACCAUUUGAUGUUACAGAACUAGAAAAGUUGUCAUGUGUGCUCGAAUGCAGGAAUCAAUGUAUAUUUUAUUGUAAUUUAUAAACCUUCAGCACUGCAUUAAAUAAUUUAAUAUGUGAGAUAUAUUUAUCUAUAUUUGCAAACUUUUAUACUUAUGCUUACAUGAUAUGUAUAUUGAAUGAUCUUGUCCUGCACUGAAUGCAGAUUAUUUUCCAUUUUUCUGUACACAGGGUCAAGAAUAAGAGUUUGCUAUAAUUUUUGACGUCUUAAACUUUUUGCUAAGAGAAUGUUUAAUUUUAUAAUUCAGCUGGUCUUGUACCAUUUGUGUCCCUUAAUACAGUGCCAAAAUAUUUGCUGUCAUGGUUAAUUUACAAUUAUUCAACGAACUAGUUUAUGUGUGAAACAUGUCAGACCACCAUCUAAUUUCUUAUGAUAAGGGUCUUGAUUGAAUAAAUGUGUCAAUUACGUGAUGUUGAGUAGAAAGAUAUUAGUCAUUCAUAGCAUGAUUAAAUAUGGAUGUUUCUAAUGACAUUUCGCUUUUUAUGUAUUGUAAAUGUAUGCUAUAUGUUAUUAUUGGAUGUUGGAUGUCUUUGAAAACUUUCAUCUGUUACUUAGCUGUUAUACUCAACUGUGUAAUCCUACAGAUAAAUAUAAAUGUACUUAUUAAUAACACCAUUGUAGAUCUACCCAGUUUACAGUUGUAUGUUACAUAGUAUGACAGUAAUUGAUGUGUAUGUGCAUAUAGGCUGUUUAACACCCAACAAUAUCCCUAAAGCAAUAGACCCCCUCGUGGUUUAUUCAUUUAUAUACUUAGUGAUGUGUAACAGCAACAAUAAUAAAAUAUCUUAAUUCGCCAGUAGUGGCAGGCACAUUUCAGUCGAGAUAUUUGUGUUAAACUCUAGUUGUAACAGUUAUAAGAAUAGUGGCAUUAUUGCUUAAAAUGUUUAACAGGAAAAUUAAUUAAUGCUUAUAGUUUAGCUUCACUGUCCCUAAACUGUUUAACAAUCGUUUAAUAAAAUUAUAUUGUCGAUGUCAGUACAUAUCUAACAUAAGAACUUAAAUAUAAUGAUAUUUUAAAGAAAGAUAUAUAUUAAAUAAUCCUUAAUUAUUCAUCAACUGCUAUGUGUUUCAACAAUUUUCAGAAAUUUGUAUUAUGUGCUUUUCUUAAAAAGUAUUAGUUUACUGCAGUUAGAGUAUAAAAUGAAAUGUAAUUGUUCUAAAAUAUUAAUAGAAGAAAUAAAUGUUUGAAAACAA